rnacentral:misc_RNA from 1 species
UUACCAAAAAAAAAAAAAAAUCAGCUACCCGGACGACCUACCUCAGUGUAUUACAUACUGUUUCGGUAUUCUUUUCCCGGAUAUUUGUUUUAAGAAAAAUAACAAUACUGACCUAGACUAUGCUAGCUCCAGCCCUCGAUCCUUGACCCUACCCCACCCAUCUUGUCACGCACGACCAAAACAGGUACACCAUUGAGGGCUCGCCCACGACUGGAAACAUUUUCUUUCUCUUUGAGUAUCUCUCCAUCCUCCCUAGUCCCUGUUUGUAUGUGUGUUUGGGAUUGGAGAAUAAAAUGUAUUUAACCCCGUACCAAGCUAUGACACAUCUCUACUUUUUGUCUCACGAUCACGGUUGCUCCAAAAACCUGUUAUGGAAACACUUGAGAUUAGUGUCGACUAUAGACGGUGGGGAUGAAUGCAAUGUGGAACACAAGUCAAUUUUCUGGCAGAUGGUGAUCACAUGGCUACGUGGUGCGUCUUAGUCUCGGGCUCAUUUUCACGUGACGGUUUCUGUCGCGCACAGAGUAACCACGAGUUCCUUCCUAGACACGUCCGUGGAGUAGCCUCAUACCUGUAACCACGAACUCCUAGACACGUUCGCUGUGAUAUAGUUGCUGGCAUGGUGUAAAUCACAAACAAACAUCCUCGACACCAAAACAAAUCUCGGAAAGCGGAAGUGGAGGGCGGAUCACAACCAAGAUGGCGUCCAGAACGUUCGUCUGCCUGACUGCAGCUUUGUUAUGCAUCAAAACAUCCACAAUGGGACUUCCAGAGGACGAAAUAAAGCCUUCGAUAGACACCAAAGCUGCCUCGAAACAUAGUAUUGAUAGUUUAACAAUUUUGAUGCUUCUUGGUUUGUUGCUUUUGACAAUUUUGACCGUUUGGUUCUUCAAGUACAGACGGUUCAGAUUCGUUCACGAGACUGGCUUGUCCAUGUUGUACGGUCUUAUUGUUGGGGUAAUAAUCCGCUACACCAGCAGUCCAAAUGCAACACAAGGUUAUGCCACUGCAGUUGUCACUGACAACACUACUUACUAUUCAGACAGUCCUCCUGAUAUUGUGUACAUAAACUUCUCAGUUCGGAACACCACAAAUCAGUUGCGCAUAAAAUAUGACUUAGCUGGCACCGUUAAUAUACCAGUCACAGAACCACCUCUGGAGAGAACGGUGACCUUUGACCCAGAAAUCUUCUUCAAUGUAAUGCUGCCAGUGAUUAUCUUUGAGGCUGGCUACAGCAUGAAGCGAAGACAUUUCUUCAGGAAUCUUGGAGCCAUUAUGACAUAUGCCUUGAUUGGAACAACAAUCUCUUGCUUGGUUGUAGGGGGGAUCCUCUACGGCAUGACAAGCUUGAUGUACGACAUCUCCUUCAACCUGACCGAGAGUAUUUAUUUUGGUGCUAUAAUCUCAGCCACUGAUCCAGUGACAGUUCUUGCCAUAUUCCAUGAUCUCCAUGUGGAUGUCGAUCUGUAUGCCCUUGUCUUUGGGGAAAGUGUUCUCAAUGAUGCUGUUGCCAUCGUUUUGUCCGAGUCAGUAUCAGUGUAUGGGGCACUGGCAGCCAACGACUCCUUCAAUGCUCAAUCUCUCUUCCAGUCAGUUGGAAGGUUUGUUGGCGUCUUUACUGGAUCCUUUGCGAUAGGUGGUCUGUUUGGUGUCUCCACAGCGUUUCUGACGAAGUUUACUAAGGUGAAGGAAUUUCCUCUGUUGGAGACAGCUCUCUUCUUUCUUAUGUCCUACUGCAGCUUCCAGGCAGCUGAGGCUGCAGCUAUGACUGGCAUUGUAGCUGUUCUGUUCUGUGGAAUCACACAAGCCCACUACACUUACAACAACCUUUCUGUGGAAUCAAAGAUCAGAACUAAGCAGCUGUUUGAACUGGGCAACUUCCUGGCAGAAAACUUUGUUUUCUUGUACAUUGGUGUGUCAGUAUUCACCCUCCAGCCACUGAGGUGGCACGCAGGCUUCAUUUUAUCCUCAUUUCUUGCUGUGAUCAUUGGGCGGAUGAUGAAUGUCUACCCUCUCACAUUCCUUCUGAACCUGGGGAGAAGCAACAAGAUCCGACCCAAUUUUCAGCACAUGAUGAUGUUUGCUGGCUUGCGAGGGGCAGUUGCUUUUGCGUUGGCGAUCCGCAACAUACAGACAGUCGCCAACCAGCAUAUGGCAGCAGCCACCAUGAUGAUUGUGUUGGCCACUGUUAUUCUUUGCGGAGGCUUCACAACCCCAAUGUUGCAGUGGCUGCAGAUCAGAGUUGGUGUGGAGGAUGAUGCAACUGUUCACCUGAACCAACUGUCGACUUCGCACAAUGCUGCACAUCGCCAGUAUAACUCCAUGGAAGUCUCCGGCUCUGGCAGGCCUACAGCCCAUUCCUUCUCGUUUGGAGAGGAUGGCUGCAGCUCACCAGUGUCUCCUUUGCUUUGUAUUACAGGGAAGCAACAGAUGACUGCUAGUGGGAUACAGAUGUCUGGUAGUCGCUCUGAAAAGGCUUGGCUUGUGGGAAAAUGGUAUAAUUUUGACAUGAGAUUCAUGAAACCACUCUUGACUCAUGCCCGGCCAUCUCUCAUGGACACCAUGCCCAAGUGCUGUUUGCCUCUAGCCAGACUGUUAACUACUGAAGAACAGCUUUCACAGGGUAUAUGCAAUGAAAAUGACUCUGAUGUAGACAUGAUCAUUGACCCUAAUCACCUGUCACUUGAUGGAGUCUCUGACAACAGAGUACCUGCAGACCAGAUGACAGUGGUAGAUGAUACAGUCAGAAAAGAGGCAAUGCAGACAGCUUAUGAAUUGUAGAGGUACAACUGAUCUCUUGAGAAUGAAAGCCCAUUCUUAAAAUUUUGAUUGGUUGUACAUGAUGAAAGCCAAAGAGGUGAUCUUGGCUUGGGGCAAACCAAUGAACCACUGGUAUGGCGGAUUGGCAUAUACGGACCA